rnacentral:rRNA from 1 species
GACGAACGCUGGCGGCGUGCUUAACACAUGCAAGUCGAACGAUGAACCACUUCGGUGGGGAUUAGUGGCGAACGGGUGAGUAACACGUGGGCAAUCUGCCCUUCACUCUGGGACAAGCCCUGGAAACGGGGUCUAAUACCGGAUAACACUGCCACGGGCAUCUGUGGUGGUUAAAAGCUCCGGCGGUGAAGGAUGAGCCCGCGGCCUAUCAGCUUGUUGGUGAGGUAAUGGCNCACCAAGGCGACGACGGGUAGCCGGCCUGAGAGGGCGACCGGCCACACUGGGACUGAGACACGGCCCAGACUCCUACGGGAGGCAGCAGUGGGGAAUAUUGCACAAUGGGCGAAAGCCUGAUGCAGCGACGCCGCGUGAGGGAUGACGGCCUCGGUU